UCCGUAGGUGAACCUGCGGAAGGAUCAUUAAAGAAAUGCGGCGGAGGGGCCCCA
rnacentral:rRNA from 1 species